AUAGAAAUUCCUAUAGGAAUUUCCUAUAGGAAAUUCCUAUAGGAAAUUCCUAUAGGAAAUUCCUAUAGGAAAUUCCUAUAGGAAU